rnacentral:rRNA from 1 species
CAGGAUUAGAUACCCUAUUAUACUAAAAUAAAAAUUGUUCCUUACUAGUAUUAGCUAUGAACUUAAAAAUAAAAAAACCUGGCGGUAUUUAAUUUAUUUAGGGGAACCUGUUUUAUAAUCGAUAAACCACGAAUAAUCUUACUUGUUAAAAAAUUUUGUAUACCGUUAUUAUUAGAUGACUCCAAUAGGAAUAGACAUUAAAAUUUUAUUGAAAAUAUAUUAGAUCAAGGUGCAGACAAUUAAUAAGUAAAAAUGGGUUACAUUAAUUUAAUUGUAAUUAAAGUUUAAUAAGCUAUAAUGAUAUAAACACUUAAAUAUGUACAUAUCGCCCGUCGCA